GACGGCCUUCGGGUUGUAAACCUCUUUCAGCAGGGAAGAAGCGGAAGUGACGGUACCUGCAGAAGAAGCGCCGGCUAACUACGUGCCAGCAGCCGCGGUAAUACGUAGGGCGCAAGCGUUAUCCGGAAUUAUUGGGCGUAAAGAGCUUGUAGGCGGUUUGUCGCGUCUGCUGUGAAAAUCCGGGGCUCAACCCCGGACUUGCAGUGGGUACGGGCAGACUAGAGUGUGGUAGGGGAGACUGGAAUUCCUGGUGUAGCGGUGGAAUGCGCAGAUAUCAGGAGGAACACCGAUGGCGAAGGCAGGUCUCUGGGCCACUACUGACGCUGAGAAGCGAAAGCAUGGGGAGCGAGCAGGAUUAGAUACCCUGGUAGUCCAUGCCGUAAACGUUGGGCGCUAGGUGUGGGGCUCAUUCCACGAGUUCCGUGCCGCAGCUAACGCAUUAAGCGCCCCGCCUGGGGAGUACGGCCGCAAGGCUAAAACUCAAAGGAACUGACGGGGGCCCGCACAAGCGGCGGAGCAUGCGGAUUAAUUCGAUGCAACGCGAAGAACCUUACCAAGGCUUGACAUGGACCGGACCGCCGCAGAGAUGUGGUUUCUCCUUUUGGGGCCGGUUUACAGGUGGUGCAUGGUUGUCGUCAGCUCGUGUCGUGAGAUGUUGGGUUAAGUCCCGCAACGAGCGCAACCCUCGUUCCAUGUUGCCAGCGC
rnacentral:rRNA from 1 species